AGGUGGAAGCGUGGUGACACGUGGAGCUGACGAAUACUAAUCGAUCGAAGACUUAAUCAAUUU
rnacentral:rRNA from 1 species